AGCGAACGCUGGCGGCAGGCCUAACACAUGCAAGUCGAACGGAUCCUUCGGGAUUAGUGGCGGACGGGUGAGUAACACGUGGGAACGUGCCCUUUGGUUCGGAACAACUCAGGGAAACUUGAGCUAAUACCGGAUGUGCCCUUCGGGGGAAAGAUUUAUCGCCUUUGGAGCGGCCCGCGUCUGAUUAGCUAGUUGGUGAGGUAACGGCCCACCAAGGCGACGAUCAGUAGCUGGUCUGAGAGGAUGAUCAGCCACACUGGGACUGAGACACGGCCCAGACUCCUACGGGAGGCAGCAGUGGGGAAUCUUGCGCAAUGGGCGAAAGCCUGACGCAGCCAUGCCGCGUGAAUGAUGAAGGUCUUAGGAUUGUAAAAUUCUUUCAGCGGGGACGAUAAUGACGGUACCCGCAGAAGAAGCUCCGGCUAACUUCGUG
rnacentral:rRNA from 1 species